GUCCACGCCGUAAACGAUGGGUGCUAGACGUUGGCGGGCUUGCCCGUCAGUGUCGCAGCUAACGCGUUAAGCACCCCGCCUGGGGAGUACGGCCGCAAGGUUGAAACUCAAAGGAAUUGACGGGGGCCCGGCACAAGCGGUGGAGCAUGUGGUUCAAUUCGACGCAACGCGAAGAACCUUACCAGCCCUUGACUUGUGGCUCGCCGGCUCCGGAGACGGAGCCUUCGGUUCGGCCGGAGCCAACACAGGUGCUGCAUGGCUGUCGU
rnacentral:rRNA from 1 species